GGGGCUGUAGUUCAAUUGGCAGAGCAGCGGUCUCCAAAACCGAAAAUGCGAGUUCGAAUCUCGUCAGUUCCA
rnacentral:tRNA from 1 species